rnacentral:rRNA from 1 species
GCUGGUCUGAGAGGAUGAUCAGCCUCACUGGAACUGAGACACGGUCCAGACACCUACGGGUGGCAGCAGUCGAGAAUCAUUCACAAUGGGCGCAAGCCUGAUGGUGCGACGCCGCGUGGGGGAAGAAGGGCUUCGGUUCGUAAACCCCUGUCAUCUGUGAGUAAGACUCCCAAUAAAAGCUUGGGAGGUUGAUAUUAGCAGAAGAGGAAGGGACGGCUAACUCAGUGCCAGCAGCCGCGGUAAUACUGAGGUCCCAAGCGUUGUUCGGAUUUACUGGGCGUAAAGAGUGCGUAGGCGGCUAGAAAAGUUUGGUGUGAAAUCUUCGGGCUUAACCCGGAAACUGCACUGAAAACUAUCUGGCUAGAGGAUCGGAGAGGAGAUUGGAAUUCUCGGUGUAGCAGUGAAAUGCGUAGAUAUCGAGAGGAACACCAGUUGCGAAGGCGGAUCUCUGGACGGUUCCUGACGCUGAGGCACGAAAGCUAGGGUAGCGAAGAGGAUUAGAUACCCUCGUAGUCCUAGCCGUAAACGGUGCACACUUGCUGUGGGCGGAUUCGACCCCGUCCGUGGCGAAGCUAACGCGAUAAGUAUACCGCCUGAGGACUACGACCGCAAGGCUAAAACUCAAAGAAAUUGACGGGGGCCCGCACAAGCGGUGGAGUAUGUGGCUUAAUUCGAUGCAACGCGAAGAACCUUACCUGGCCUUGACAUGUAGUGGCCCGGGUGCGAAAUCACCCUUUUCUUCGGAACUGCUACACAGGUGCUGCAUGGCUGUCGUCAGCUCGUGUCGUGAGAUGUUGGGUUAAGUCCCGCAACGAGCGCAACCCUCAUGUUCUGUUGCCACCCGGAUGUAAAUCCGGAGCACUCUGGACAGACUGCCUGGUUUCAACCAGGAGGAAGGUGGGGAUGACGUCAAGUCAGUAUGGCCCUUACGGCCAGGGCUGCACACGUACUACAAUGCCUGAUAUAAUGGGAAGCAAGACCGCGAGGUGGAGCAAAUCCUCAAAACCGGGCUCAGUUCGGAUUGGAGUCUGCAACUCGACUCCAUGAAGUUGGAAUCGCUAGUAAUGCCGUAUCAGCAACGACGGCGUGAAUACGUUCCCAGGCCUUGUACACACCGCCCGUCACAUCAUGAAAGUCGAUUGUACCCGAAGUCGCUGCAUUAACCGCAAGGAGAUAGGCGCCGAAGGU